rnacentral:rRNA from 1 species
GAUAAACGCUGGCGGCGUGCUUAACACAUGCAAGUCGAACGAAGUUUUUCUUUCGGGAGGAACUUAGUGGCGGACGGGUGAGUAACGCGUGGGUAACCUGCCCUGUACAGGGGGACAACAGCUGGAAACGGCUGCUAAUACCGCAUAAGCCCUUAGCACUGCAUGGUGCAUAGGGAAAAGGAGCAAUCCGGUACAGGAUGGACCCGCGUCUGAUUAGCCAGUUGGCAGGGUAACGGCCUACCAAAGCGACGAUCAGUAGCCGAUCUGAGAGGAUGUACGGCCACAUUGGAACUGAGACACGGCCCAGACUCCUACUGGAGGCAGCAGUGGGGAAUAUUGCACAAUGGAGGAAACUCUGAUGCAGCGACGCCGCGUGAGUGAAGAAGUAUUUCGGUAUGUAAAGCUCUAUCAGCAGGAAAGAAAAUGACGGUACCUGACUAAGAAGCACCGGCUAAAUACGUG